GACGUAGGGCGCGAGCGUGUCCGGAUUUAUUGGGCGUAAAGAGCUCGUAGGCGGCUUGUUACGUCGACUGUGAAAACCCGCGGCUCAACCGCGGGCCUGCAGUCGGAUACGGGCAGGCUAGAGUUCGGGUAGGGGAGACUGGAAUUCCUGGUGUAGCGGUGAAAUGCGCAGAUAUCAGGAGGAACACCGGUGGCGAAGGCGGGUCUCUGGGCCGAAUACUGACGCUGAGGAGCGAAAGCGUGGGGAGCGAACAGG
rnacentral:rRNA from 1 species